rnacentral:lncRNA from 1 species
UUCCGUCUCAUGUGUUUAUUAUAGGGUUCAAGAUCUUCUUCGUUUCUUUUUCGCUGUUUCAAUUGACCCUAACCAACGUGUUUAACCAACCAACCAACCAACCAACCAACCAACUAACUAAUCAAUCAAUCAAUCAAUCAAUCAAUCAAUCAAUCAAUCAAUCAUGAUCAUGAUCAAUCAAUCAUCUUUCCGUCUCAUGUGUUUAAUGUAGGGUCCAAGAUCUUCUUUGUUUCUUUUUCGCUGUUUCAAUUGACCCUAUCCAACGUGUUUAACCAACCAACCAACCAACCAACCAACUAAUCAAUCAAUCAAUCAAUCAAUCAAUCAAUCAAUCAAUCAUGAUCAUGAUCAACCAAUCAUGUUUCCGUCUCAUGUGUUUAAUAUAGGGUCCAAGAUCUUCUUUGUGCCUUUUUCCGUGUUUCAAUUGACCCUAUCCAACGUGUUUAACCAACCAACCAACCAACCAACUCACCAACUAAUCAAUCAUCUAAUCAAUCAAUCAAUCAAUCAAUCAAUCAAUCAAUCAAUCUGUAUGACUGUUUAUCCAUGAGUUUAUUGAAGGAGCAAACUCUCAUUUAUUCAAGAAAAAUUGAAAUUUAAUAUUGUUCUUACGUC